UGGGGAAUCUUGGACAAUGGGGGCAACCCUGAUCCAGCCAUGCCGCGUGGGUGAAGAAGGCCUUAGGGUUGUAAAGCCCUUUCAGUCGUGACGAUGAUGACGGUAGCGACAGAAGAAGCCCCGGCUAACUCCGUGCCAGCAGCCGCGGUAAUACGGAGGGGGCUAGCGUUGUUCGGAAUUACUGGGCGUAAAGCGCGCGUAGGCGGAUUCUUAAGCCAGAUGUGAAAUCCCGGGGCUCAACCCCGGAACUGCAUUUGGAACUGGGAGUCUAGAGGUCAGGAGAGGUUCGUGGAAUGCCGAGUGUAGAGGUGAAAUUCGCAGAUAUUCGGUGGAACACCAGUGGCGAAGGCGACGAACUGGACUGAUACUGACGCUGAGGUGCGAAAGUGUGGGGAGCAAACAGGAUUAGAUACCCGUGUAGUCC
rnacentral:rRNA from 1 species